rfam:Erwinia sp. EM595 isolate E_g_EM595 genome assembly, chromosome: 1
GCCGCUAUUGCGGCAUACAGGGUCCAGUCGCAUAAAGCCCCGAAUUUUCGGGGUUUUUUGUUAUCAGGGAAUCGUAACACUGGGCUAUAAGCCCUUUUUUU